rnacentral:rRNA from 1 species
ACUCCUACGGGAGGCAGCAGUGGGGAAUAUUGCACAAUGGGGGAAACCCUGAUGCAGCCAUGCCGCGUGUGUGAAGAAGGCCUUCGGGUUGUAAAGCACUUUCAGUAGGGAGGAAGGUAGUGUAGUUAACACCUGCACCUAUUUGACGUUACCUACAGAAGAAGCACCGGCUAACUCCGUGCCAGCAGCCGCGGUAAUACGGAGGGUGCGAGCGUUAAUCGGAAUUACUGGGCGUAAAGCGCAUGCAGGCGGCCUGUUAAGUCAGAUGUGAAAGCCCGGGGCUUAACCUCGGAAUUGCAUUUGAAACUGGCAGGCUAGAGUCUUGUAGAGGGGGGUAGAAUUUCAGGUGUAGCGGUGAAAUGCGUAGAGAUCUGAAGG